GACGAACGCUGGCGGCGUGCUUAUCACAUGCAAGUCGAACGGUGAAGCGCCUUCCUUUUUGGUGGGUGUGGAUGAGUGGCGAACGGGUGAGUAACACGUGAGUAACCUGCCCCCUUCUUCUGGAUAACCGCAUGAAAGUGUGGCUAAUACGGGAUAUUCUGGGUCUGUCGCAUGAUGGGUCUGGGAAAGAUAUUGUUUCGGUGGGGGAUGGGCUCGCGGCCUAUCAGCUUGUUGGUGGGGUGAUGGCCUACCAAGGCGGUGACGGGUAGCCGGCCUGAGAGGGUGGACGGUCACACUGGGACUGAGACACGGCCCGGACUCCUACGGGAGGCAGCAGUGGGGAAUAUUGCACAAUGGGCGCAAGCCUGAUGCAGCGACGCCGCGUGAGGGAUGGUGGCCUUCGGGUUGUGAACCUCUUUCGCCAGUGAAGCAGGCCUGCCUCGUUUGUGGGUGGGUUGACGGUAGCUGGAUAAGAAGCGCCGGCUAACUACGUG
rnacentral:rRNA from 1 species